AUGGAAAAGAGUUUCCAUAGAAAUCAUAAUUGGACUUGAGCUGAUGGAAUCUAUCAUAUGACUGAUGUUGAGAUUUGACGAUUCAUUCAUGAUCUGCCAUCUAGUCGGGACUCAUGAUAGAAGGACUGAAUCACACGUUAACUACAUCUAGAGAUUUAUUUCAGUUUUACUAGGUUGUCACUACAUACUGUUAGGUAUCACU
rnacentral:lncRNA from 1 species